GAUUUCAAAUGAAAAAGUCAUCAACAAUAAAGUUGUAUAACUCAUCAAAAUCUAUAACUUUUAUUUUGGUCAUUUAUUCAUCCGAUAAAUUGAUAGUAACAUUGUUCACAAAAUUUACAUAUCUCCCUUAUAGCUUAUAAACUAUAUAAGAGAUAUGUACAUUUUGUGAAUAAUGUUACAAAUCACAUUGUCGAAUGAAGAAAUAAACCAAAUAAAAGUUAUAGAUCUUGAUGAGUUAUGCCACUUUGUUAUUGAUGACUUUUUCAGUUGAAAUC
rnacentral:pre_miRNA from 1 species